rnacentral:rRNA from 2 species
AAGGUACGGAACAACACCGGGAAACUGGUGCUAAUACCGUAUGUGCCCGCAAGGGGAAAGAUUUAUCGCCUUUGGAUCGGCCCGCGUUGGAUUAGCUAGUUGGUGGGGUAAAAGCCUACCAAGGCGACGAUCCAUAGCUGUUCUGAGAGGAAGAUCAGCCACACUGGGACUGAGACACGGCCCAGACUCCUACGGGAGGCAGCAGUGGGGAAUCUUGGACAAUGGGCGCAAGCCUGAUCCAGCCAUGCCGCGUGGAUGAUGAAGGCCUUCGGGUUGUAAAAUCCUUUCGUUGGGGACGAUAAUGACGGUACCCAAAGAAGAAGCUCCGGCUAACUUCGUGCCAGCAGCCGCGGUAAUACGAAGGGGGCUAGCGUUGUUCGGAUUUACUGGGCGUAAAGCGCGUGUAGGCGGAUCGUUAAGUCGGGGGUGAAAGCCCGGAGCUCAACUCCGGAACUGCCUUCGAUACUGGCGGUCUAGAGCAUGUCAGAGGCGAGUGGAAUUGCGAGUGUAGAGGUGGAAUUCGUAGAUAUUCGCCGGAACACCAGUGGCGA